UUUGGUUCGUUGUAAACGAUGAAAAGGGAACUCGGGUGCAAGUCCCGGACAGUCCCGCUGCUGUAAGCCCCGCAGUGUCGUUGCUCUUGUAAGCCACUGUCAUUUAAUAUGAUGGGAAGGCGAGUAACGACGGGGUAAGUCAGAAGACCUGCCAAGUCCG
rnacentral:ncRNA from 1 species